rnacentral:rRNA from 1 species
GAUGAACGCUGGCGGCGUGCCUAAUACAUGCAAGUCGAGCGAACGGACGAGAAGCUUGCUUCUCUGAUGUUAGCGGCGGACGGGUGAGUAACACGUGGAUAACCUACCUAUAAGACUGGGAUAACUUCGGGAAACCGGAGCUAAUACCGGAUAAUAUUUUGAACCGCAUGGUUCAAAAGUGAAAGACGGUCUUGCUGUCACUUAUAGAUGGAUCCGCGCUGCAUUAGCUAGUUGGUAAGGUAACGGCUUACCAAGGCAACGAUGCAUAGCCGACCUGAGAGAGUGAUCGGCCACACUGGAACUGAGACACGGUCCAGACUCCUACGGGAGGCAGCAGUAGGGAAUCUUGCGCAAUGGGCGAAAGCCUGACGGAGCAACGCCGCGUGAGUGAUGAAGGUCUUCGGAUCGUAAAACUCUGUUAUUGGGGAAGAACAUAUGUGUAAGUAACUGUGCACAUCUUGACGGUACCUAAGCAGAAAGCCACGGCUAACUACGU